CCUACGGGAGGCAGCAGUGAGGAAUAUUGGUCAAUGGACGAGAGUCUGAACCAGCCAAGCCGCGUGAAGGAUGACUGCCCUAUGUGUUGUAAACUUCUUUUAUAAAGGAAUAAAACGUGGCACGUGUGCCUUUUUGCAUGUACUUUAUGAAUAAGGAUCGGCUCACUCCGUGCCAGCAGCCGCGGUAAUACGGAGGAUCCGAGCGUUAUCCGGAUUUAUUGGGUUUAAAGGGAGCGUAGAUGGGUUGUUAAGUCAGGUGUGAAAGGUUGCGGCUCAACCGUAAAAUUGCAAUUGAUACUGGCAGUCUUGAGUACAGUAGAGGUAGGCGGAAUUCGUGGUGUAGCGGUGAAAUGCUUAGAUAUCACGAAGAACCCCGAUUGCGAAGGCAGCUUACUGAACUGUGACUGACAUUGAGGCUCGAAAGUGUGGGUAUCAAACAGGAUUAGAUACCCCUGUAGUC
rnacentral:rRNA from 1 species